rnacentral:lncRNA from 1 species
CUACUUUUUACCAAUAUAAAAAACCCAAUUUCAAAUUUUGCUACAUAAAACCAAAUCCAGGUGGUGAGUCACGUGCCCAUCCAGGAAGGCUCAAGGUCAUUGGUCACAGAUAGAAUGAUAUCAAAUCAUGUUAUAUCAACAGUAACAUUGAUCGGACUGAUCACAUCAACAUCUUACCUUCAAAGUCUUAGUUAGCAGUCAUCAUCAGUUGUCAUCAAGUUGACAAUCUACUGGCAAAUCAUUUUUAACCCUUAUCAUAUGAAGAGAAAUAAUGAAGAGAAAUUAUAGAUAAAACAUGUCGGUUCUCAUCAGCCAUUGGACAUAAACAUUACACAACAAGUUGGAAAUCGCAAAUUCAACAAUGAGUGGUUUGGAAGGAAUCAGCGGCUAACUGCAAGCGUUGCAAAGAAACCACUAACGUUAGCCUGCUAUUCAAUGGAGUGGCUGUGUUUUUUUCUCUCUGACGUCCCAUCAUAAAUCCAGAGAAUGCCAGACUUAGAUGACAAAGUUUGAUGAAAAAAUUUGCCCACAAAGGACCCCUGCGCCACCAAAAAUGUAUUGUAUGCUGCUGCAUAAAUGAUGUAAUAUGCAAGGGAGAAAUGUAUACUGUAGCUAAGAAAGUAAUACUAAGUGUAUGUUGUGUAGUAAGCAGUUAGUAGCCCAUAUGUCUCACCUUUAUAAUUUAGUCUAUUUUCACCAAUGCGGUAUUGUAAACACAUAACGUUAGUAGUUGUGGUGCUUGGCUUGCACAUGCAAAUUCAGCACACACAACAUUCUAUAAUACAAUUGUGUUAUUUGACGUGUAAAAUUAAAAGCUUAUUUAACGCGUUAAAUAGUGUUAUAUGACGUGUAUCUUUUUUGACACGCAAAGACCCAAACGGCGUUCAAUGUGCCUUACCCUAAUAAUUUGUUCUAUUUUCACCUUUUAAUUUCACCUACUGUUCUAACUUGGUGGUGCAAAAAUAGCCUAUAACCUGUUUUAGAGAUAUGUAAUCAUCAAAUAUUGUAAGAGCUUUUGUUGUCUGUUUAUAUGCCCCAUUUGUUUAUACUACGGUUCUGAGUUGGUGUACAGGGAGUACACUGUAAGAACGGCCCAUGUUCUGAAUUCUAUUGCUGUACAUUUCAAAAGUGCUGAACAAAUAGUUAUAUUGACUAUAUCCGUCCUAGCUCGCUCAUUAAUGUCUUAAUCGAAAUUAUGGAUUGCCUCUUAUCCACAUGUUGUCCCCUUAUGCCAUAAUUUGUACAUCUCAAUUGUCAGUAGAAACCACAUUUGUUUAAGCAAUUCUGCCAUAUCAGCUAUGAUUUUUUUAAAGGCAAUAAAUAUGGCUGAAUGAACUGUUUCCCUGCCAGACAAGGCUCUGCUGAAAGCCAGGUUUGUCAACGUUAUAGAGCAAUUCAUGUAUUGUUUAGUGUUGUGUUGUGUAGUGGCUUUGCUGACAUGCAUCCCACAUUUUUUUUCCCCCCAAUCAAGAUUCACAUGCUAAAAUCUCCACUGACUGAAUUCUAUUCUACUGUAUUUUAGUCAAUGGCACUAUGACAUUGCUCGUCCUAAUAUUUAUAUAUUUCUUAAUUCCAUUCUUUUACUUUUAGAUUUGUGUGUAUUGUCGUGUAUUGUUAGAUAUUACUGCACUGUUGGAGUCAGAAACACAAGCAUUUCGUUACACCCACAAUAAAAUCAGCUAAAUAUGUGUAUGUGACCAAUACAAUUAUUUGAUUUGAAGCACAUACAAAAUCUCUAAAUCAAUUGCGUAUUUUUUGUUGUUGUAAGAAGGGUUCAAAUGCGAGCUGACUUGUUGUGAUAACUUCUGAAGCACUGAGUUACUAUAACUACGUAGCGUGCUUGGUAGAGUGUUUUUACUGUGGUCG